rnacentral:rRNA from 1 species
AGUGAACGCUGGCGGCAGGCCUAACACAUGCAAGUCGAGCGGAUGCAGAGAAAGUGCUCGUUGUUUCAGCUGCGGACGGGUGAGUAAUUCCGAGGAACCUGCGUGUUUGUGGGUUAUAACGUCCGGAAACGGGCGCUAUUACCGCAUACGUCCUGACGGCCUACGGGUGAAAUCUUCGGAUCUCCCGCCAUCGCAUGAUCCUAUGUGGGAUUAGCUAGUUGGUGGGGUAAAGGCCUACCAAGGCGACGAUCCGUAACUGGUCUGAGAGGAUGAUCAGUCACACUGGAACUGAGACACGGUCCAGACUCCUACGGGAGGCAGCAGUGGGGAAUAUUGGACAAUGGGCGAAAGCCUGAUCCAGCCAUGCCGCGUGUGUGAAGAAGGUCUUCGGAUUGUAAAGCACUUUUAGUGGGGAGGAAGGGCAGUAAGUUAAUACCUUGCUGUUCUGACGGUACCCAAAGAAUAAGCACCGGCUAACUUCGUG